ACUCGAGCCUGCCUCGGCGGAAGCGCUAGCGGGCGACUCGGCCACCCUGCGCCGGCGCCCCUACCCAGCCGCCCGCCCGCACUUCCCUAUCCCGGGGGAGCCCGGAUGACUUGGGUCAGCCUCCGCUCGGGGAACUCCGCUAGGGAUUCCAAUAGGGACCGCGCGGGCGUGGCAAGGCGCCCCAGGCGGCCUCCCCGGCCCCCGAGGACGUGGGGCCUUGGGGAGUGCCUGGGAGGCCCCAGGCGGGCUUCCCAUCUCCUGGACACCCCCAGGCAGCCCUCCUAGACGCUCAAGACUCUGAGCCGGACUCCGAAUCCCUUCCUGGUCCAUCAAGGCGGCCGGCCUGGGGACAGGCGGGGAGACGUCACAGGAGAUACCCCCGCCCCAAGAUGCCUGAAACCUCCACGGGCUCCCACUGAACCUCCCAAAUCGAAGCCCCUACAACAUGCUCUCAACAUCUCCAGAACAUCUACUGAGGGUACCCAGGUCUUCUCCCUGUCACCUCCUCCCCUCGCCCUAUUCCAAGCCCCACCAUGAAGAGCUGUAAAUGACAUUGAUAGCCACGCACAUCAGGCUUCACAGACUUUCUUAAGGAUAGGCACAAGAAGACUCGUUAAAGUGUCAUGCAAACUCCAAAGCACAGGAAAACCGAAUGGAAUUAUCAUCUUGCCCCCAUGGAGCUCCACACCCCUCCACCCCGACAGACUUGCUGGAUUACAGAUUGGGAGAUGGAGGCAGGCUAUAGACAUACAAUUGAGCACACCAACCUGUAGUAGGAGUGGGAGUUAAUAAGGAAGAGAAGGAGGCACUAAACACCUAAAAGCAGCCCCCAAAUUGAGCUAGGUUGAAGUCAUUCUCCAUCUCAACCUCCACUCCGAAAUCCAACGCUGACAGUGGAUCCUUACCUUGCAAAGCCAGCUCUUGGUCCAGGAGACUGGCUGGGGAGGCCCUAGGGAGCUGAACUCAGCUGGACUGGACUUCUUUGACCUGCACUAGAGGGACCCUGGAGACUCUUCUUCACUGAAGGAAGGAGCAGAAAGCCUGUAAGUCUGGUCUAAAUUCCAGCUGGGGUGGAUAGCAAAAAAUAAUUUAUCCUCUUUGAGAUGGACAAGUGCUGUUCUAAUUCAAUGAGUUUAGUUUGUGCCGUCUCUCCCUAACCCAGGAACAGCAGGAGGCUGAACUACAGGAAUCUCUGGUCACUCAUUGACAGGGCUGGCCUUAGCAGGGGACCCCCCACGGCUGGAGACUGAAGCUGACCGGGGCCAAGCAGCAGACAAGGAGGGGGAGGGGAGAGGCCGCCCUUUGCUGCCACCUGCUAUAGCUAAUGGAGGUGGAACACUCAAGAUCCAGAAUAUGCUGUGGGUACCAGGAAGUCCUAGGAUUUGAGGAGCGAGACUCUAGUUUUUCCUCUCUUCAUACUGUUUGAAGUCAUGAAAGUAAUUCUGAUGAACCUUCAUGAGGCAGAUCACAACAGUAAUAUUCAGGCUAUUUGGGUAUGUAAAAAAAGGAAGAAGGAAAAAACCCAAACUGUUGUAUCCCAUGUGCCAAGACCCAGCACUGAGGGGAGGGGUCCAGAUUGCAGUACCUCAGAGGCUUUUCACUUCAUUCUGUUUCACGGCCCCCAGCUCCUCUUUACUGUACUGGGCAGGAGGAAUUUCAGGGAAUAAUCAAGCCUGCCAUGGAGGCAGUGGAUGCUGAGGCAGAGGGUCGAAACAGCACCCAACUUCUCUCACUGACCUCCCAACACAGGGACCAGCUGACCCUAUGAUAAAGGCGCUGUGCAAUGUGUCCUCUCCCCUGCUGUGUCAGGCCUCUAUGUUCCCACAGUUAGAGCACUCAGGGGACUAAAGACCUACCGCCCCCACUCUCCAUCUCCGCCCUGCUCCACAUCUGGAGCCCAUCAAAAAACUCAGCGCUCUCUCACAGUUACGCAAGAGGUCGAGCAGCUGGGAGCUCAGGAAAGGGGGAGGAAGAGAGGGAAAGAAAGCAGAAAACAGCUUUCCAGGCCUGCUUCAGACUUUCCGAAGUGGAAGCAGGGGGAGAGGGCAAAGCCUGGGUGUGGAAGGAAGAGUGGAUUUUUCUAAGGCCCUUUGCAUUGGCUACAAGUGUCAGGAGUGAAUUUCCAUACUCCUGCUUUUGCCUUGGCACAUUCCCCACUUUGUCCCACCUCUCAAAUUGUACUCCCUCUAGCCCCAGAGAGGUGAUUAUUGCUCAUACAGCAAGCAAUCCUUGUAGAUACACACCCUCUUCCAGAAAGCUGUCCGUUUCUGGCCUCUGGAUCCUGAAGUCAGGCAUCAUUGGUGUAGGCGUGGUGGUAGCAAUGACCCUGCAGCAACUUGGGGAAAAGUUCAAAGCUCUCUUUUCAGCUGUCUUAGAAAUUGCAUAGUCUGCUUCGACCCAAAGCUAACAUGCAUCCAAGCUAAGUGGGAAAUUUGGGUAGGACAGAAGACUGGUCUUGUGUACCUCCAAGGCUAAGGGCUUUCCUAAUGAGCUAAAAGAACAAGCAUUCAUUUGGGCAAAAGAAUGGGAGACAAGACCUAUUUCAAUUUCUCUCAUUGUCUUGAAUUUCUAAUGCUUCUUUCAAACAGCCCCUGUCCUGGUUUGGUAAUCAAUCUGAUCACCCAGAGUAAACCUAGGGAAGCUUUCCAGUAUUGGUUUAGACCCUAAAUAACCACUUAGCCCCUGCCCUAAGAACAGCAGGGCAAAAAAACUGCGGUGGGGGAUGGGAGAAGUGGUCCAAGCUUCUGAAAACUGCCUAAUAGCUUGACUUGUGAUUGUGAGAGGGAAAACAGCCUGGUUUGGAAAGAUAGUCUAAUUUUUCUAAAGGCCUACCUCCGUAUCAAUCCCCAACUCCCCAGGAUAAGACGUUAAGGCAGCUAUUUGUAGUGUUGCUGUCUGCCCUUGGGUAACAGCAAUGCACAGCAACCAACCUACUUGUGGAUCUUCUAGGACAAGGGAAUUGGGGGUAAGGGGGUUGUAAUAAGACAGAUGUGCAUAGCAAAAGAAAAUCAUUUGUGAGGUUUUGCUUGAGAUUCCUCUAGAGCCUACAAGACAGAAGCCAUGUUACCUACUCUCAUAUAGAUCCAUGUUUAGUACUAGCUGUAGUUAACACUUGUCUAACUUGGAAAAAAAAAGGCUUCACAAGCAGAUAGUCAUUGCUUCCAGUUAGACUUUAAUCUUCUUGAGGAUGACUUUUUCCAUUUUUCUCCUGUCUCCUUCCAAUAAGCCCUGUCAGAUGUGAAGUUUAAUAAAAAGCUAUUCUAUAUCAACCCUGGAAAUCUCAGACCCUAGCCAGUGUGAACAACUUUAAAACUGUUCACAAUUUAAAAAUUAAUUGGAGGGCAAAGUUUCCCAUCAGAGAUGCAUGGGUUGACAAAUUUGAAGCUAUGGUGAGUAAAGGAAUGACAGACCUUAAUCAUUUCAUUCGAUUAAGGCUACAGUCUCAGACAGCUAAGCCACACUUGAGCAACAUUAGACCAGAUACUUUUUUUCACCAAGAAAAAAAAAAUCAGAAUCUUGGCUUUCAACAUUAGAAAUUUCUCAUCCCAGAUACUUAAUAAGUGAGAAUAAUUUGCCUUCCAAUUUUUUGACACCCAAUAGUUUUUCCAAGUUAAAUUUUAAAAAAGCAUAAGAAAGUAAGCAGCUCUGGCGGAGCGCGGUGGCUCAGGCCUAUAAUCCCAGCACUUUGGGAGGCUGAGGCGGGCGGAUCACGAGGUCAGGAGUUUGAGACCAGUCUGACCAACAUGGUGAAACCGUCUCUACUAAAAAUACAAAAAUUAGCCGGGGGUGGUGGUGUGGAAUGCCUGUAAUCCCAGCUACUCAGGAGGCUGAGGCAGGAGAAUCACUUGAACCCUGGAGGUGGAGGUUGUGGUGAGCCGAAAUCAUGUCACUGCACUGCAGCCUGGUGACUGUCUCAAAAAAAAAAAAAAAAAAGGCUGGGCGCGGUGGCUCACGCCUGUAAUCCAGCACUUUGGGAGGCAGAGGUGGGCGAAUCAUCUGAGACCAGGAGUUCAAGACCAGCCUGACCAACAUGGUGAAACCGUCUCUACGAAAAUACAAAAAAAAUUAGCCCGGCAUGAUGGCGGGUGACUGUAAUCCCAGCUACUCUGGAGGCUGAGGCAGGAGAAUCGCUUGAAGCUGGGCGACCGUGGUUGCAGCGAGCUGAGAUCGCACCACCACACUCCAACCUGGGCAGCUAAGCGAGACUCCAUCUCAAAAAAAAAAAGUAAGCAGGUUUAUCUGAGGGAAUUAUCAACAGUUCCCAAAAAUUGUUCCCAUUAUCCCUCAUCCCUGGAUCACUUCUCAUCACGGUCUAAUGGGGAAGAGAAGACUCCAAGACUCCAAGAUUAAAGAUGAAGCCUGACUUUUUUGACUCUCCAACUGCCGUCUGACAAAAUUAAGACUCCAAUCCCCAAAAAGGCCAGAAGUAGCAUCAAAUUCAAAAGCUACACUGUCAGGAGUGCAUGUAUCAAAUGUAGAAAAAUACGCAAGGAAGCACAAUACAUAUAAGAUGGAAAAAGGCAAUGAAUACUCUCACAGAUUACUUUCUCUUAAAAAAAACAUGUCAUUAAUUUUUAAUGUUAGGUCCCAUUACAGCAUCCUGAAUCAACAAGCAGACACCAAAGUGAGUCAAUAAUCCAAUAAACAUCUCAUUUUAUAAUGCGCUUUAUUUGAUUAAA